GGCGCCCUACGGGACGCAGCAGUGGGGGAUAUUGCACAAUGGGGGAAACCCUGAUGCAGCGACGCCGCGUGGGUGAAGAAGCGCCUCGGCGCGUAAAGCCCUGUCAGCAGGGAAGAAAAUGACGGUACCUGAAGAAGAAGCCCCGGCUAACUACGUGCCAGCAGCCGCGGUAAUACGUAGGGGGCAAGCGUUAUCCGGAUUUACUGGGUGUAAAGGGGGCGCAGACGGCGAUGCAAGCCAGGAGUGAAAGCCCGGGGCCCAACCCCGGGACUGCUCUUGGAACUGCGUGGCUAGAGUGCAGGGGG
rnacentral:rRNA from 1 species